AUUUCCUAACCCUAGUUUCCUUUUCACACAUGGUUUCACACUUCACGCAGCCGUGGGCGGCGGCGGCGAUCACCACGGAGGCGGAGGCCGCGACCACAGGCAUGGCCAUGGCGGAGAGGCGUGGAAUUUCAGGAAGAAGGUGUGGAGCAUGAUGGGGGGGCCUACAAGCACUAGCGCCGCACGGCGAUCGCCAUGGCCGGGAUCUUCCUCACCUGCGUCCCAUCGCCAUGAAAUCUGCCGAGCUCGAGCCACAGGCGGUAGCACCGCCGUUCGCAAACACUCGGCAGCGGCAGCGGACUUCGAUAGCGGCGUUAACGACCCGAGCUAACGAGCCGAACACGAGCUAGCUCGAUUACGUUGCGAGCCGAUCACGAGCCGAAGAUCUCGAGCUCGUCACGAGCUCGAGCCGAACACGAGCCGACCUUGAGACGUUCGAGCCGAGCUCGAGCUGGCUCCAGCUCGCUCGAGCUCGGCUCGUUUACAGCCCUACUUAUUGGACUCUCCCCUAGCUUAUUUAGCACGAUACGAAUGGUUUUGGGUAAAUCCUACGUACUAUAUCCGGUGUAAGUAAUACUUUUCUCUUUUCACACAACUUGACCUAACUUUGGGUAGACAAUUUAUUGAGUUUUGUAAUUUAAUUAUCUAACUCGUAAUUUGUUUUACAAUCCAUUUUAAAAUCAAA